AGUCUGUCUAAUUUGAUUCGAGCACUGGUCUCUCCAGGUUUCACCAUUUCUAUAAUGUCGCAGGAAAUCGAACAAGAGCGGAAGGAACUAACGCAGGAAGAAGAGAUGUGGAGUCUGAAGAGAAGGAGGAGGAGAAUAAUGAGAACAUUGACGAUGACAAUGUCGAUGAUGGUGUCGAUGAUGAUGAUAAUAAUGAUGAUGCCGAUGAUAAUGAGGAGCAGGACAACGCAAAUGUUGAGGAUAGCCUUGAUGACAAUGGCGAUGAUGGGAAGGAGGAGGAAAUACGUGACGAGGAAGAAAUAACUCAGGAGACAAUAGAGAAAGAAGAAAACAUAUUACACAUCUCUUGAAAAUGAAAAUAUUUCGUACUCCCCUGUUCUGCUUAUGUCGCCGGAAUAUUAAAAUUUACAAAAAAAGAAAAACAUCUUCCUACGCAUGAUCAAGUAAACAACUAUAGUACAAACUGGCGGUGGUGCUGACUAUCCUACAUCGCGACAUGCAAGGGAAGAAAAUGUGCCCUUGGAAGAAGAAUCCUCGCAAAAUUUCGAGAACUCCAUCGAUAAUAAACAUUAGCAGCAGCAACAGCAAUGACAAUAGACGCAUCAUCAUCAGGAGGAAAAUAAUCAUUACAGGCAGGAUUAUCAUCGUUAAUAGGAGAUUAGAGAUAAUUCGCUUUUAUUGAGUUAAGGCAGAAAACUCGCGUCGAUUUAGGAAUUUUGCGAUACUAGGGAGGGAGGCAACUUUUACAAUACGUCCGCCACCCGAAGGUACCGAUAUCGUUCGUUGGAUAGAAAGCGCGUUCCGUGAAAUUCGGGCGCUACAUUCGUGCGAACCUUAUGUAGAAUUAUCGUU